rnacentral:rRNA from 1 species
GAUGAACGCUAGCGGCAGGCUUAAUACAUGCAAGUCGAGGGGCAGCACGAAUAGCAAUAUUUGGUGGCGACCGGCAAACGGGUGCGGAACACGUACGCAACCUUCCCAAAACAGGUGAAUAGCCCUGCGAAAGUAGGAUUAAUACACCGUAAGAUAUAGUUGUGGCAUCACGAUUAUAUUAUAGACCGCAAGGUUGGUUUUGGAUGGGCGUGCGCCUGAUUAGGUAGNGGUGCGGGUAACGGCCCACCAAGCCUCCGAUCAGUAACUGGUGUGAGAGCACGACCAGUCACACGGGCACUGAGACACGGGCCCGACUCCUACGGGAGGCAGCAGUGGGGAAUAUUGGACAAUGGGCGAAAGCCUGAUCCAGCAAUGCCGCGUGUGUGAAGAAGGUCUUCGGAUUGUAAA